GACGAACGCUGGCGGCGUGCUUAACACAUGCAAGUUGAACGGAAAGGCCCUGCUUUUGUGGGGUGCUCGAGUGGCGAACGGGUGAGUAACACGUGAGUAACCUGCCCUUGACUUUGGGAUAAUUUCAGGAAACUGGGGCUAAUACCGGAUAGGAGCUCCUGCUGCAUGGUGGGGGUUGGAAAGUUUCGGCGGUUGGGGAUGGACUCGCGGCUUAUCAGCUUGUUGGUGGGGUAGUGGCUUACCAAGGCUUUGACGGGUAGCCGGCCUGAGAGGGUGACCGGCCACAUUGGGACUGAGAUACGGCCCAGACUCCUACGGGAGGCAGCAGUGGGGAAUAUUGCACAAUGGGCGGAAGCCUGAUGCAGCAACGCCGCGUGCGGGAUGACGGCCUUCGGGUUGUAAACCGCUUUCGCCUGUGACGAAGCGUGAGUGACGGUAAUGGGUAAAGAAGCACCGGCUAACUACGUG
rnacentral:rRNA from 1 species